UGAUUUGCGCAAAUACUCGCA
rnacentral:piRNA from 1 species